AGCGUACACGGUGGAUGCCCUGGCAGUCAGAGGCGAUGAAGGACGUGCUAAUCUGCGAUAAGCGUCGGUAAGGUGAUAUGAACCGUUAUAACCGGCGAUUUCCGAAUGGGGAAACCCAGGUGUGUUUCGACACACUAUCAUUAACUGAAUCCAUAGGUUAAUGAGGCGAACCGGGGGAACUGAAACAUCUAAGUACCCCGAGGAAAAGAAAUCAACCGAGAUUCCCCCAGUAGCGGCGAGCGAACGGGGAGCAGCCCAGAGCCUGAAUCAGUGUGUGUGUUAGUGGAAGCGUCUGGAAAGGCGUGCGAUACAGGGUGACAGCCCCGUACACAAAAAUGCACAUGCUGUGAGCUCGAUGAGUAGGGCGGGACACGUGGUAUCCUGUCUGAAUAUGGGGGGACCAUCCUCCAAGGCUAAAUACUCCUGACUGACCGAUAGUGAACCAGUACCGUGAGGGAAAGGCGAAAAGAACCCCGGCGAGGGGAGUGAAAAAGAACCUGAACCGUGUACGUACAAGCAGUGGGAGCACGCUUAGGCGUGUGACUGCGUACCUUUUGUAUAAUGGGUCAGCGACUUAUAUUCUGUAGCAAGGUUAACCGAAUAGGGGAGCCGAAGGGAAACCGAGUCUUAACUGGGCGUUAAGUUGCAGGGUAUAGACCCGAAACCCGGUGAUCUAGCCAUGGGCAGGUUGAAGGUUGGGUAACACUAACUGGAGGACCGAACCGACUAAUGUUGAAAAAUUAGCGGAUGACUUGUGGCUGGGGGUGAAAGGCCAAUCAAACCGGGAGAUAGCUGGUUCUCCCCGAAAGCUAUUUAGGUAGCGCCUCGUGAAUUCAUCUCCGGGGGUAGAGCACUGUUUCGGCAAGGGGUCAUCCCGACUUACCAACCCGAUGCAAACUGCGAAUACCGGAGAAUGUUAUCACGGGAGACACACGGCGGGUGCUAACGUCCGUCGUGAAGAGGGAAACAACCCAGACCGCCAGCUAAGGUCCCAAAGUCAUGGUUAAGUGGGAAACGAUGUGGGAAGGCCCAGACAGCCAGGAUGUUGGCUUAGAAGCAGCCAUCAUUUAAAGAAAGCGUAAUAGCUCACUGGUCGAGUCGGCCUGCGCGGAAGAUGUAACGGGGCUAACCAUGCACCGAAGCUGCGGCAGCGACGCUGAUGCGUUGUUGGGUAGGGGAGCGUUCUGUAAGCCUGCGAAGGUGUGCUGUGAGGCAUGCUGGAGGUAUCAGAAGUGCGAAUGCUGACAUAAGUAACGAUAAAGCGGGUGAAAAGCCCGCUCGCCGGAAGACCAGAGGGUUCCUGUCCAACGUUAAUCGGGGCAGGGUGAGUCGACCCCUAAGGCGAGGCCGAAAGGCGUAGUCGAUGGGAAACAGGUUAAUAUUCCUGUACUUGGUGUUACUGCGAAGGGGGGACGGAGAAGGCUAUGUUGGCCGGGCGACGGUUGUCCCGGUUUAGCGUGUAGGCUGGUUUUCCAGGCAAAUCCGGAAAAUCAAGGCUGAGGCGUGAUGACGAGGCACUACGGUGCUGAAGCAACAAAUGCCCUGCUUCCAGGAAAAGCCUCUAAGCAUCAGGUAACAUCAAAUCGUACCCCAAACCGACACAGGUGGUCAGGUAGAGAAUACCAAGGCGCUUGGAGAGAACUCGGGUGAAGGAACUAGGCAAAAUGGUGCCGUAACUUCGGGAGAAGGCACGCUGAUAUGUAGGUGAAGUCCCUCGCGGAUGGAGCUGAAAUCAGUCGAAGAUACCAGCUGGCUGCAACUGUUUAUUAAAAACACAGCACUGUGCAAACACGAAAGUGGACGUAUACGGUGUGACGCCUGCCGGUGCCGGAAGGUUAAUUGAUGGGGUCAGCGCAAGCGAAGCUCUUGAUCGAAGCCCGGUAAACGGCGGCCGUAACUAUAACGGUCCUAAGGUAGCGAAAUUCCUUGUCGGGUAAGUUCCGACCUGCACGAAUGGCGUAAUGAUGGCCAGGCUGUCUCCACCCGAGACUCAGUGAAAUUGAACUCGCUGUGAAGAUGCAGUGUACCCGCGGCAAGACGGAAAGACCCCGUGAACCUUUACUAUAGCUUGACACUGAACAUUGAGCCUUGAUGUGUAGGAUAGGUGGGAGGCUUUGAAGUGUGGACGCCAGUCUGCAUGGAGCCGACCUUGAAAUACCACCCUUUAAUGUUUGAUGUUCUAACGUGGACCCGUGAUCCGGGUUGCGGACAGUGUCUGGUGGGUAGUUUGACUGGGGCGGUCUCCUCCUAAAGAGUAACGGAGGAGCACGAAGGUUGGCUAAUCCUGGUCGGACAUCAGGAGGUUAGUGCAAUGGCAUAAGCCAGCUUGACUGCGAGCGUGACGGCGCGCAGGUGCGAAAGCAGGUCAUAGUGAUCGGUGGUUCUGAAUGGAAGGGCCAUCGCUCAACGGAUAAAAGGUACUCCGGGGAUAACAGGCUGAUACCGCCCAAGAGUUCAUAUCGA
rnacentral:rRNA from 1 species